rnacentral:tRNA from 1 species
UCCCUGGUGGUCUAGUGGCUUAGGAUGAGAUCUUGUGUUCUCACUGCCAUGGCCUGGGUUGGAUUCUUGGCCAGGGAA